UCUCUCUGACCCAUUAUUGCAGACUUAAAAACAAGCAUGUUUUCAAAUGGUGCUAUGAGUUGCCAAUGAUGUAUCACCACCGUAUCUCAUUAUUCUCUACUAAAUGUGAUAAUAAUGUGAUCUGUUAACAUAAAAAAGUUUGACUCCACAAAAGCAGCUGGAAAUGGACAACCGCAAUAUGCAUAAAUCUAACUCCUACCAUCGGAUGCACACUGCUUGACACAUAUUGUCAGGAGCACCUCGCAUCUGCGAGUUCUCUUAAGCAAAAUGCUCGCAUUAGUUCUCAGCUGGGGCUGUGCAUCAGGCAGGCUGGGGAUAUUCAGUUCUCAGCAGAAGCCGGAAUUGGAAUGCGCUCAUCUUUGAGGAGGCUUUUACCAGGUGUGGGGAGGACACAGGUGCUUCCUCAG
rfam:Echinops telfairi cont1.356132, whole genome shotgun sequence.